rnacentral:rRNA from 1 species
GACGAACGCUGGCGGCGUGCUUAACACAUGCAAGUCGAACGGUAAGGCCCUUCGGGGUACACGAGUGGCGAACGGGUGAGUAACACGUGGGUGAUCUGCCCUGCACUUCGGGAUAAGCCUGGGAAACUGGGUCUAAUACCGGAUAGGACCACUGCCUGCAUGGGUGGUGGUGGAAAGCUUUUGCGGUGUGGGAUGGGCCCGGGGCCUAUCAGCUUGUUGGUGGGGUGAUGGCCUACCAAGGCGACGACGGGUAGCCGGCCUGAGAGGGUGGCCGGACAAACUGGGACUGAGAUACGGCCCAGACUCCUACGGGAGGCAGCAGUGGGGAAUAUUGCACAAUGGGCGCAAGCCUGAUGCAGCGACGCCGCGUGAGGGAUGACGGCCUUCGGGUUGUAAACCUCUUUCAGCACCGACGAAGCGCAAGUGACGGUAGGUGCAGAAGAAGGACCGGCCAACUACGUGCCAGCCGCCGCGGUAA